rnacentral:misc_RNA from 1 species
UUUCCGUAGGUGAACCUGCGGAAGGAUCAUUACUGAGGGGCUUCGGCCCCAUCAAGAUACCACCCCUUGCAUUUCGAGCACCUUCUGUUUCCUCGGCGGGCGACAUGCCCGCCAACGGGGACUCCACCAAACUCUUUUGUAGUUGCAGUAAACGUCUCAAAAACAAAUAAAUCAAAACUUUCAACAACGGAUCUCUUGGUUCUGGCAUCGAUGAAGAACGCAGC